AUAACGGUCCUAAGGUAGCGAAAUUCCUUGUCAGGUAAGUUCUGACCCGCACGAAUGGCGUAACGAUUUGGGCGCUGUCUCAACAGCCCACCCGGCGAAAUUGUAGUACUGGUGAAGAUGCCAGUUACCCGCAACUAGACGGAAAGACCCCAUGGAGCUUUACUGUAGCUUAAUACUGAGGAUUGGUAAUUGAUGUACAGGAUAGGUGGGAGACAUGGAAACAUUGGCGUCAGCCAGUGCGGAGUCACCCUUGGGAUACCACCCUUCAAUUGCUGGUUUUCUAACCUGCGGCCGUGAAUCCGGUCGGGGGACACUGUUAGGUGGGCAGUUUGACUGGGGCGGUCGCCUCCAAAAAGGUAACGGAGGCGCUCAAAGGUUCGUUCAGCACGGACGGAAAUCGUGCAGUGAGUGUAAACGCAUAAACGAGCCUAACUGCGAGACCGACGGGUCGAGCAGUAACGAAAGUUGGAGUUAGUGAUCCGGCGGUAUGUGAGUGGAAAUGCCGUCGCUCAACGGAUAAAAGCUACCCUGGGGAUAACAGGCUGAUCUCCCCCAAGAGUCCACAUCGACGGGGAGGUUUGGCACCUCGAUGUCGGCUCAUCGCAUCCUGGGGCUGAAGUAGGUCCCAAGGGUUGGGCUGUUCGCCCAUUAAAGCGGUACGCGAGCUGGGUUCAGAACGUCGUGAGACAGUUCGGUCCCUAUCUGUCGUGGGCGCAGGAUAUUUGAGGAGCUCUGUCCUUAGUACGAGAGGACCGGGAUGGACGCACCGCUGGUGCACCAGUUGUCACGCCAGUGGCACAGCUGGGCAGCUAAGUGCGGAUCGGAUAAACGCUGAAAGCAUCUAAGCGUGAAGCCGGCUCCAAGAUAAGAUAUCCCAUUCCGUAAGGAAGUAAGACCCCUUGAAGACUACAAGGUUGAUAGGCUGCGUGUGUAAGCGCCGCGAGGCGUUCAGCUUGGCAGUACUAAUAGGUCGAGGGCUUGACCUU
rnacentral:rRNA from 1 species